rnacentral:rRNA from 1 species
UCAAGUUAUUAAGGGUGCAGGGCGGAUGCCUUGGCACUAGGAGCCGAUGAAGGACGUGAUAAGCUGCGAUAAGCUUCGGGGAGUUGCACGUAAACUUUGAUCCGAAGAUUUCCGAAUGAGGAAACUCACUUAGAGUAAUGUCUAAGUAUCAUUAAGUGAAUACAUAGCUUAAUGAGGGGAACUCAGGGAACUGAAACAUCUAAGUACCUGAAGGAAGAGAAAGAAAUUCGAUUCCGUAAGUAGCGGCGAGCGAACGCGGAUUAGCCCAAACCAAUAAAGUUUUCUUUAUUGGGGUUGCGGACAUAUCAUAACGAAGAGGUAUCGUAAUUGAAGAGGUUUGGAAAGACCCACCACAGAAGGUAAUAGUCCUGUAUGUUAAACGAGAAGACUUUAGAUAUGAUCCAGAGUACCACGGGACACGUGAAACCCUGUGGGAAGCAGGAGGGACCACCAUCCAAGGCUAAAUACUACCUAGUGACCGAUAGCGUAUAGUACCGUGAGGGAAAGGUGAAAAGAACCCCGGGAGGGGAGUGAAAUAGAACCUGAAACCCUGCACUUACAAGCUGUGGAAGCACAUUUCUUGUGUGACCGCGUACUUUUUGUAGAACGGGCCAACGAGUUACGUUAAGUAGCAAGGUUAAGCACUUAAGGUGUGGAGCCGUAGCGAAAGCGAGUUUUAACUGAGCGUUCAGUUACUUGACGUAGACCCGAAACCGGGCGACCUACCCAUGAGCAGGAUGAAGCGAAAGUAAAAUUUCGUGGAGGUCCGAACCCACGAGCGUUGAAAAGCUCGGGGAUGACUUGUGGGUAGCGGUGAAAUUCCAAUCGAGCCCGGAGAUAGCUGGUUCUCCCCGAAAUAGCUUUAGGGCUAGCCUCAAGGUGAGAGAUACGGAGGUAGAGCACUGAAUGUCCUAGGGGGUAUUGCACCUACCGAAGACUAUCAAACUCCGAAUGCCGUCAUCUUAUACUUGGGAGUCAGACUGUGGGUGAUAAGAUUCAUAGUCGAAAGGGCAACAGCCCAGAUCGUCAGCUAAGGUCCCUAAAUGUAAGUUAAGUGGUAAAGGAUGUGGGAUUGCACAGACAACCAGGAUGUUGGCUUAGAAGCAGCCACUCAUUCAAAGAGUGCGUAAUAGCUCACUGGUCGAGUGAUCCUGCGCCGAAGAUUUCCGGGGCUAAAACUUACUACCGAAGCUACGGCAUCAGUAAUGAUGGGUAGGGGAGCUUCCCAUACGGGUUGAAGCAUGACCGUAAGGACAUGUGGACAGUAUGGGAGUGAGAAUGUUGGCAUGAGUAGCGAGAUGUGGGUGAGAAUCCCACAGGCCGUAAACCCAAGGUUUCCAGGGGAAGGUUCGUCCGCCCUGGGUUAGUCGGGACCUAAGCUGAGGCCGAAAGGCGUAGGUGAUGGACAACAGGUUGAUAUUCCUGUACUACCGAUAACCGUUUGAGAGAAGGGAUGACACAGUAGGAUAAGCUAAGCACACUGUUGGUUAUGUGUGCCCAAGCAUUGAGGCAGUCAAAGUAGGCAAAUCCGCUUUGAUAAUGCUGGGAUGUGAUGGGGAGCGAAAUUUAGUAGCGAAGUAGCUGAUUUCACACUGUCAAGAAAAGUCUCUAUCGAGGUUAAAGGUACCCGUACCGCAAACCGACACAGGUGGGUGAGGAGAGUAUCCUAAGGCCAGCGAGAGAACUGUUGUUAAGGAACUCGGCAAAAUGACCCCGUAACUUAGGGAUAAGGGGUGCCACCAUCAGGUGGCCGCAGAGAAUAGGCCCAAGCGACUGUUUACCAAAAACAUAGGUUUCUGCUAAGUCGCAAGACGAUGUAUAGGAGCUGACGCCUGCCCGGUGCUGGAAGGUUAAGGGGAUCUGUUAGAGCAAUCGAAGCAGUGAACUUAAGCCCCAGUAAACGGCGGCCGUAACUAUAACGGUCCUAAGGUAGCGAAAUUCCUUGUCGGGUAAGUUCCGACCCGCACGAAAGGCGUAACGAUUUGGGCACUGUCUCAACAACAGACUCGGUGAAAUUGUAAUUCCGGUGAAGAUGCCGGAUACCUGCGACAGGACGGAAAGACCCCAUGGAGCUUUACUGUAGCUUGACAUUGGGUCUUGGUACUACAUGUACAGGAUAGGUGGGAGGCUUUGAAACCAGGACGCCAGUUUUGGCGGAGCCAUCCUUGGGAUACCACCCUUGUAGUACUGGGACUCUAACCAUAGGCCAUGAAUCUGGUCUUGGGACACUGUCAGGUGGGCAGUUUGACUGGGGCGGUCGCCUCCCAAAAGGUAACGGAGGCGCUCAAAGGUUCUCUCAGUACGGUCGGAAAUCGUACGUAGAGUGUAAAGGCAAAAGAGAGCUUGAUUGCAAGACAUACAGGUCGAGCAAGGAUGAAAAUCGGACUUAGUGAUCCGGUGGUUCUGCGUGGAAGGGCCAUCGCUCAACGGAUAAAAGCUACCCUGGGGAUAACAGGCUUAUCUCCCCAAGAGUCCACAUCGACGGGGAGGUUUGGCACCUCGAUGUCGGCUCAUCACAUCCUGGGGCUGUAGUAGGUCCCAAGGGUUGGGCUGUUCGCCCAUUAAAGUGGUACGCGAGCUGGGUUCAGAACGUCGUGAGACAGUUCGGUCCCUAUCCGUCGCAGGCGUAGGAAAUUUGAGAAGACCUGUCCUUAGUACGAGAGGACCGGGAUGGACGUACCUCUGGUGUACCAGUUGUCCUGCCAAGGGCAUGGCUGGGUAGCUAUGUACGGAAUGGAUAAGCGCUGAAAGCAUCUAAGCGCGAAGCCAACUUCAAGAUAAGAUUUCCCACCGCAAGGGUAAGACCCCAGAAAGACUAUCUGGUUGAUAGGUCGAAGGUGUAAGUGCAGCAAUGUAUUUAGCUUAUCGAUACUAAUAGGUCGAGGACUUGACCAA